rnacentral:misc_RNA from 1 species
GAUGAAGAACGCAGCGAAAUGCGAUACUUGGUGUGAAUUGCAGAAUCCCGUGAACCAUCGAGUCUUUGAACGCAAGUUGCGCCCGAAGCCAUUAGGCCGAGGGCACGCCUGCCUGGGCGUCACACGUCGUUGCCCCCCCAUCAACUCCUUCGGGAUUGCGGGGGGCGGAUGAUGGCCUCCCGUGCGCCUCGCCGCGCGGUUGGCAUAAAUGCCAAGUCCUCGGCGACGCACGCCACGACAAUCGGUGGUUGCGAAACCUCGGUUGCCUGUCGUGUGCGGUCGUCGCGCAUCGAGGGCUCGAAAAAAUUGCCGGGUUCCGGCUCGGCUUUCAACGCGACCCCAGGUCAGGCGGGGUUACCCGCUGAAUUUAAGCAUAUCAAUAAGCGGAGGA